rnacentral:rRNA from 1 species
AAAAAGCUCGUAGUUGAAUUUCUGAUCAUUUGCAGUCUUGGCUUCGGUCGGGCUGUGGUUGGUCAUCCGUUUGCAAGCGGCGCUCGGCCUUCACUGGUUCGGCGUCGUGAGCUGACAUUUUACUUUGAAAAAAUUAGAGUGUUUCAGGCAGGCUUUUGCCCGAAUACAUUAGCAUGGAAUAAUGGAAUUGGACUCUGGUCCAUUUGGUUGGUUAUUGGAUCUGAGUAAUGGUUAAUAGGGACAGUUGGGGGCAUUAGUAUUUAAUUGUCAGAGGUGAAAUUCUUGGAUUUAUUAAAGACUAACUUAUGCGAAAGCAUUUGCCAAGGAUGUUUUCAUUAAUCAAGAACGAAAGUUAGGGGAUAAAAGACGAUCAGAUACCGUUGUAUUCUUAACUAUAAACUAUACCGACUCGGAAUUGGUAGGGUAUUUUAGCUCUAUCAGCACCGUAGGAGAAAUCAAAGUCUUUGGGUUCUGGGGGGAGUAUAGUCGCAAGGCUGAAACUUAAAGGAAUUGACGGAAGGGCACCACCAGGAGUGGAACCUGCGGCUUAAUUUGACUCAACACGGGGAAACUUACCAGAUCCAAAACAUGGGGUGGGGAUUGACA